rnacentral:lncRNA from 1 species
CUGAAACUUGUUGUGUACGUCAGGCUGGCCUCGAACUUGCAGAGAUCCACGUGCCUGGGCUCCCUGUGCUGGGAUUAAAAGUGUGUGCCAGCACACCUGGCGAGUCACCUGCUUUUGAUGCUCGGCUUUUGACUUUGGUUGACUUCCUGCCCACGGGGGAGUAAGCAGUAACUCUGUAAGGGGUACCCCAUUGUGUGGAGAUCUUCUGAGGCAACCACUGUGGAGGAUCCAACUCAAGGCUUCAUACACAGGCAAGCACUGACUGAGCUUCGUUCCCAGUCUGCCAUGAAACCAGACAGUCCAC